CUUGACAUCCAGCGAACUUUCCAGAGAUGGAUUGGUGCCUUCGGGAACGCUGAGACAGGUGCUGCAUGGCUGUCGUCAGCUCGUGUUGUGAAAUGUUGGGUUAAGUCCCGNAACGAGCGCAACCCUUAUCCUUUGUUGCCAGCGAUUCGGUCGGGAACUCAAAGGAGACUGCCGGUGAUAAACCGGAGGAAGUGGGGAUGACGUCAAGUCAUCAUGGCCCUUACGAGUAGGGCUACACACGUGCUACAAUGGCGCAUACAAAGAGAAGCGACCUCGCGAGAGCAAGCGGACCUCAUAAAGUGCGUCGUAGUCCGGAUCGGAGUCUGCAACUCGACUCCGUGAAGUCGGAAUCGCUAGUAAUCGUGGAUCAGAAUGCCACGGUGAAUACGUUCCCGGGCCUUGUACACACCGCCCGUCACACCAUGGGAGUGGGUUGCAAAAGAAGUAGGUAGCUUAACCUUCGGGAGGGCGCUUACCACUUUGUGAUUCAUGACUGGGGUGAAGUCGUAACAAGGUAGGCGUAGCGAG
rnacentral:rRNA from 1 species